rnacentral:rRNA from 1 species
CCUACGGGGGACAGCAGUGGGGAAUAUUGCGCAAUGGGCGAAAGCCUGACGCAGCGACGCCGCGUGAGGGAUGAAGGUCUUCGGAUCGUAAACCUCUGUCAGCAGGGAAGAACGGUCACUGUGCUAAUCAGCAGUGAAUUGCCGGUACCUGCAAAGGAAGCACCGGCUAACUCAGUGCCAGCAGCCGCGGUAAUACGGAGGGGGCGAGCGUUAAUCGGAAUUACGGGGCGUAAAGCGCUCGUAGGCGGUAUGUCAAGUCAAGGGUGAAAUCCCCGCGCUCAACGUGGGAACUGCCUUUGAAACUGGCAAACUGGAGUGUGGGAGAGGAUAGUGGAAUUCCAGGUGUAGGAGUGAAAUCCGUAGAUAUCUGGAGGAACAUCAGUGGCGAAGGCGACUAUCUGGCACAUAACUGACGCUGAGGAGCGAAAGCGUGGGUAGCAAACAGGAUUAGAUACCCUGGUAGUC